rnacentral:rRNA from 1 species
GACGAACGCGGGGCGUGCUUAACACAUGCAAGUCGAACGGAAAGAGAUGAAAGAGCUUGCUCUUUUAUUAAUUUCAGUGGCAAACGGGUGAGUAACACGUAAACAACCUGCCUUAAGGAUGGGGAUAACAGACGGAAACGACUGCUAAUACCGAAUACGUUCUAAGCAUCGCAUGGUGCAUAGAAGAAAGGGUGGCCUCUACAAGAAAGCUAUCGCCUUAAGAGGGGUUUGCGACUGAUUAGGUAGUUGGUGAGGUAACGGCUCACCAAGCCGACGAUCAGUAGCCGGUCUGAGAGGAUGAACGGCCACACUGGAACUGAGACACGGUCCAGACUCCUACGGGAGGCAGCAGUGGGGAAUCUUCCGCAAUGGACGAAAGUCUGACGGAGCAACGCCGCGUGAACGAAGAAGGUCUUCGGAUUGUAAAGUUCUGUGAUUCGGGACGAAAGGGUUUGUGGUGAAUAAUCAUAGACAUUGACGGUACCGAAAAAGCAA